rnacentral:lncRNA from 11 species
CUUGGAUAUCUACAAAUUCAACACACAAGCAAGAAUGUUGGCAUUUGAAUAAUAAAGAGAAAGGAAGAAGCAUAGAUUACUGUAACAUGCGCUACAUGGGAUUGCCU